rnacentral:rRNA from 1 species
GAUGAACGCUGGCGGCGUGCCUAAUACAUGCAAGUCGAGCGAAUGGAUUAAGAGCUUGCUCUCAUGAAGUUAGCGGCGGACGGGUGAGUAACACGUGGGUAACCUGCCCAUAAGACUGGGAUAACUCCGGGAAACCGGGGCUAAUACCGGAUAACAUUUUGAACCGCAUGGUUCGAAAUUGAAAGGCGGCUUCGGCUGUCACUUAUGGAUGGACCGUCGUCGCAUUAGCUAGGUGGUGAGGUAACGGCUCACCAAGGCAACGAUGCGUAGCCGACCUGAGAGGGUGAUCGGCCACACUGGGACUGAGACACGGCCCAGACUCCUACGGGAGGCAGCAGUAGGGAAUCUUCCGCAAUGGACGAAAGUCUGACGGAGCAACGCCGCGUGAGUGAUGAAGGCUUUCGGGUCGUAAAACUCUGUUGUUAGGGAAGAACAAGUGCUAGUUGAAUAAGCUGGCACCUUGACGGUACCUAACCAGAAAGCCACGGCUAACUACGUGCCAGCCGCCGCCGUAA